rnacentral:snoRNA from 1 species
AGCUUCUUUUAUCGCAGCCUACUAAAAUUGUGAGGGCAAAGCCUCACGGCUUAGCUUUUGCAAGCAUGUAAGCACGGCUUCACCAAGGAAGGACAGAAAAGGCACAGUGUCGCAAAUGAGGCUAGGGCAGACCUCUUAAUGUCCUUUGUGACCCGUUUCAGGAAACUAAGUGUAUGU